rnacentral:rRNA from 1 species
UAAUACAGAGGUCCCAAGCGUUGUUCGGAUUUACUGGGCGUAAAGGGUGCGUAGGCGGCUAGAAAAGUUUGGUGUGAAAUCUUCGGGCUCAACCCGGAAACUGCACUGAAAACUAUCUGGCUAGAGGAUCGGAGAGGAGAUUGGAAUUCUCGGUGUAGCAGUGAAAUGCGUAGAUAUCGAGAGGAACACCGGUUGCGAAGGCGGAUCUCUGGACGGUUCCUGACGCUGAGGCACGAAAGCUAGGGUAGCGAAGAGGAUUAGAUACCCUCGUAGUCCUAGCCGUAAACGGUGCACACUUGCUGUGGGCGGAUUCGACCCCGUCCGUGGCGAAGCUAACGCGAUAAGUGUGCCGCCUGGGGAGUACGGUCGCAAGAUUA